UACGAAGGGGGCUAGCGUUGCUCGGAAUCACUGGGCGUAAAGCGCACGUAGGCGGCUUUGUAAGUUAGAGGUGAAAGCCCAGGGCUUAACCCUGGAAUUGCCUUUAAGACUGCAUCGCUAGAAUCGUGGAGAGGUGAGUGGAAUUCCGAGUGUAGAGGUGAAAUUCGUAGAUAUUCGGAAGAACACCAGUGGCGAGGGCGACUCACUGGACACGUAUUGACGCUGAGGUGCGAAAGCGUGGGGAGCAAACAGG
rnacentral:rRNA from 1 species